UUUUUUACUUCUGAACGCAUUAGCUCUAGCCUUGUUCUACCCCCAAAAUUUGAAAGCUAGUAAGGUCUUCAUUGCCAAAAUAACGUUAAAAGAUUGCAAUAGAGAAGUUUACAAAAGAAAAGGUUUGAGAUAAAAUUUGCUCACAUAGUAAAGAGUUUCUAUUGUGAGCAAAUUUGCUCACAGAAACAAGAAACAGGAAACAAAAACGUUACCAAACGGGCCCUAAGUGUCUUUAAGUGGGUACAUGGUUAUCAUCACUGAAGCCAUUGAACAAACAUAUCAAAGGAAAAGAAACAAACAAAGUUGGAUAAAAUGCGUUAAGUAGAGAUGUCAUUAUAUAAAUUUACUUUACAAAUGCAUUCCAAAUGUUUACAAGGGUUGAAAAGAGAUGUUAAUAGAAUCCAACAAAAGACACCCCUGAAUUUAUUUUUCAACCACAUUGUCAUCAUGGUGUUGCGGCAGGAGUUAAUUGCCUAGAAAGUUGAGGGGUUGUUGAAGAGUUUGCAGAAUGAUAAGAGUAAAGCAGGUACACGUUAAACAUAUACAUCAUGCACGUAGUUCAUCAACCCUCAAAACUGGUCUUCUUGCCUAUGAACAUGUUGCCACAUUAGUUUUCAGUCUUUUUCAAGGUGCUGCAAGAUGCACUGAUGUUGUCGUUGAAGUUUACUAAUUUUCUCUAAUUGAUGCAGACCUAAAUCUUGUAGCACUAUCUGUUCUUAUGCAAAAUAAGCAUGGCGUUGAACAAAUGUUUCAUGCCAUUGUUGGAACCUCUAGUGUUGCAUCAUCAAAGCAUCCUAGUUGGUUGAGAUCGUGACUAGUUAAUGCGUUAAGGGUUCGAGGAUCUCACCAUGAAGUGUUGAGGGACUUCUUGGCAUUGAGUAUUGACAUUAUCAGAUGUGACCUAAUGUGUCUUACCAAUAUCAGUCUUUGGCACACUUGUGUUUGGAUUAAGUCGAUCAUCAACAUGUGUUGAAUCGUACGGCAAGGAUGGGAAAUUGAUAGACUCCUCAGGUUUUGAAGUCUUAAGUAAGGGAUUCUCGUGUGGUGGGGGAGUUAUGACAACAGGCGAUAAAGGUAAAAGAUUUUAAGAUUCUAGAGCUUUUCUUGGGGUGGGCACUGGGAUUAAGAUAGAAGAAAAAUGAUCUGUGGAAGUUUUGAUAGAUUGGUCUUAAGAUGAUGAGGAUGAGGGUAGGAAGACAUCUUUUUCAAAGGAUCUAAUUCCUCCAAUUUCUUCAAGAAAGAGUGAUAUAGUCUCAUCCUCCAAUUUCUUUAAGAGAGAGUGAUAGAGUCUCACCCUCCAAUUUCUUCAAGAGAGAGUGAUAUAGUCUCAUCCUCCAAUUUCUUUAAGAGAGAGUGAUAGAGUCUCACCCUCCAAUUUCUUCAAGAGAGAGUGAUAUAGUCUCAUCCUCCGAUUUCUUUAAGAGAGAGUGAUAGAGUCUCACCCUCCAAUUUCUUCAAGAGAGAGUGACAAAGCUCAUCCUACAAUUUCUUCAAGAGAGAGUGAUAGAGUCUCAUCCUCCAAUUUCUUCCAGAGAGAGAGUGAUAGAGUUUCGAAAGGCAAGGAAGAUAGAUCCAUAAACUGUGGUGGUAAUUCUUUGGAUGUGGGGGACAAUGGAAUGAUGGUAAGGGCUACAAAGGUUGAUUUAUCAGUCUCUUUAACCUCUUCAUUACUAGUGGUUGCCUUAAUCAGUUUUCUUCAUUUGGUGAAUGAUUCACGCGGUGAAUGAGAGGAGGAUGCUACCAUUUGAUCUUUUUAUUUAUUACCGGUGCAUCUUCAAAAUAGUUCAUGUCAUACUUCAACAAUAUUUUCAACACAUGAUGCAUUUCAAUAUUUUCAACUAUUAAGGGAAGAAGCAACUGAACUUUCUUAUUUGUGAAGACUCCUUUAAUUUGAACGGCCAGAAUGCAUCUAAUGUCCAUUGGGGUGCACCACAUGAUGUAAUAGAUGGUCAUCACUUUGUCUAAGGACACCCAUUUAUCAUGUGUUAUAGGGAGUCACUACAAAUAAUUGGGGUUCUUCCAAUGCACAAACCCACGUUGGCGAAACUGACAUCGGAAGACAAGUGUUUUCCCGACGCCAUAUCCCCUAUGCCAGUAAAGUUUGCAUACUCAGACGCUGUGAGAACGAUGUCGAGCUAAGGUAGGCAUAUAUUGAUGUGGAUAACAAUAACGUUGAGGAAUGUGUUACAAUUAAAUAUAUAUAUAUUUGUUUUUCUCCAAAUCCUUUUGAGAGACUCGGGAUAACCUUUCGUAUUAUCGACGCUUGUGAACAAGGUGUCGAAGAACAUCAAAAAUAUUAUUUAAUCGUCACACUUUCCACAACCCCAGUUAGUAGACGUCGGGACUGGGGCUCUAUUUGCCGACAUUUUUAUAUCCAGCGUCGGGAGAUAGGAAAUAAUUAAAUAAUAUGUUUGCUUUCCCCCGAUAGGACAUGCACAAUGUCAGGAUAGAGGAUAAUCUAUCCCGACGUAUUACUAAAUGCGUUGGGAGUAUUGUUAAAUUAAACAAUACCGACGUGUUACUAAUGACAUCGGGAAUGGAUGUCUUCUCCCGAUGUUUUCGUGGUGCAUCGGAAGUUCCCUUAUAAAAAGAACUCUUUGAGUUCUAUAAAUCACAGAAACAAAAAAGAGAAAGAUUUAAGAAUGAGAGAGAGGUCGAGAAGAAAAAGUCCGUCUACCUGCCGCUUGCCAUCGUCCGUCGUCUUUGUUGCCACCACUCCUAACUCAGAGAGGUUUCAAAGGGUAGAAAGUUGAGAAAGGAAGAAGAAGAAGUUCAAAAAUUGUAGGUUGAAGAAGACAAGGAGUUUGCAAGACAAACUUCUCUAUAGUUCAUUAAGCACAUCUCUGGUAUUCUGAUCGGUUUGAGCUACACAAAAUGAAUUAAGAGUUAAAUUGUAGGGACAAGUUAAAGGGGUCGUGGUGUACGCGAUUAUUGGAGCGGUUGUGUUUCGAGAGACAUCUGAGAUUAUAUACAGGGAAUCAGAUUUAUAUGUCUUGAGGUUACAUUCCGUUGUUGACGUUGAGUGUACUCUGUGACAACGUUACUGUCAUAAGUGCUUGGUGAGCCCUAUUACGACAAAGACGAUGAGAGUGCUGGACGGGUCCCACUACAUCAUAGAACUAAUAAACGUUGGUUGUACUGGGCGUGUCCUACACAACGUAGAGAUCGAGUUCCCGGUGCCUGAUAAACUGCCUUAGUCUGUUGAAGCUCCAAUAUCGAUUGCCAGUACGUGGUUAGAGUUGUGCAUAGAGUCUGUUGUGUUAUGAUGUAUAUAUUUGUGUAUGAUAUAGAUACUCUACAGUUUGUGUACAUUUUAGGAGCUGCGGUUGUGUAAACCUUUGUUGGUUAUGUUUUGGUUAAGGUGUCUCCAGGUUUACUUGCGGAAUCAGUUAUUUCCAGGCUACACUUCACGUAUGUAUAUGAUUAGUUUAGGUUUCGCUGUGUUGUGUUGCAUGUAUAGUAGUUUAUAUACUAGAUUAGCAAGUUUAUCACGUUAAUAAUUUCAGCAGAGUCGACAGAUAUCGAUAGAGAAAAGCAUUGUUGGUCGGCUUCACGUCGUCUUUCGGUUUAAGCUAGCAGUUAUGGAAGCUUAUUCAGUGCAAACUUAAGAUUGAAUAUGUUAGUAUUUAUGAGGGUUUGAAGUUGUGUUAAGUAGCUUGCAUUACAAGAAGAAGGGGGUCUACAGACGUAAAGAUGCGUUGGCAGAAGCCAAGACUGCGUCGGGAGAGGCUACGUCGACAAGAACAUCGUGAAAGGCACUCCUGAUGCGCGAAUGGGAUGAUGUCGGCAAAGGGGUUACUAUCAACCAUUGUUCGUCGACAUGGUUAACUCGUCGGCAGUAGGGAUCUGUCGACGUUUGGUAAUGAUGUCAUAAAUAGGUUACUGUCGACGUCAUUAAGUGAGUUGGCGUACAUGAACCACCAACGCGACAUUGGCAGACCUUCUAACGACAUCGCAUCGACAGAUCGACCAUUUGCGAUGCAUAAC